rnacentral:rRNA from 1 species
GUCGAAUGACUUGGAAAAGUCAGUCAAAGAGGGUAAAAACCCCGUAGAUGAAAUUUGGAAGGCACCUAGGAGGAUCCUGAGUACGGCGGAACACGAGGAAUUCCGUCGGAAUCCGGGAGGACCAUCUCCCAAGGCUAAAUACUCCCUAGUGACCGAUAGUGAACCAGUACCGUGAGGGAAAGGUGAAAAGCACCCCGGAAGGGGAGUGAAAUAGAACCUGAAACCGUGUGCCUACAACAAGUCAAAGCCCGUUAAUGGGUGAUGGCGUGCCUUUUGUAGAAUGAACCGGCGAGUUACGAUUGCAUGCGAGGUUAAGUUGAAGAGACGGAGCCGCAGCGAAAGCGAGUCUGAAUAGGGCGUUUGAGUAUGUAGUCGUAGACCCGAAACCAUGUGAUCUACCCAUGUCCAGGUUGAAGGUGCGGUAAAACGCACUGGAGGACCGAACCCACGUACGUUGAAAAGUGCGGGGAUGAGGUGUGGGUAGCGGAGAAAUUCCAAACGAACUUGGAGAUAGCUGGUUCUCUCCGAAAUAGCUUUAGGGCUAGCCUCGGAAUUGAGAAUGAUGGAGGUAGAGCACUGUUUGGACUAGGGGCCCAUCUCGGGUUACCGAAUUCAGAUAAACUCCGAAUGCCAUUCAUUCAUAUCCGGGAGUCAGACUGUGAGUGAUAAGAUCCAUAGUCGAAAGGGAAACAGCCCAGACCACCAGCUAAGGUCCCAAAAUAUAUGUUAAGUGGAAAAGGAUGUGGGGUUGCACAGACAACUAGGAUGUUGGCUUAGAAGCAGCCACCAUUUAAAGAGUGCGUAAUAGCUCACUAGUCGAGUGACCCUGCGCCGAAAAUGUACCGGGGCUAAACAUAUUACCGAAGCUGUGGAGUACACCUUUAGGUGUAUUGGUAGGAGAGCGUUCUAAGGGCGUUGAAGGCAGAUCGUGAGGACUGCUGGAGCGCUUAGAAGUGAGAAUGCCGGUAUGAGUAGCGAAAGACAGGUGAGAAUCCUGUCCACCGAAUGACUAAGGUUUCCUGGGGAAGGCUCGUCCGCCCAGGGUUAGUCGGGACCUAAGCCGAGGCCGACAGGCGUAGGCGAUGGACAACAGGUUGAUAUUCCUGUACUCGUUGUUUUUGUUUGAGCAAUGGAGGGACGCAGGAGGCUAAGGAAUGCAGACGAUUGGAAAUGUCUGUCUAAGCAGUAAGUCUUGAUAGGAGUCAAAUGCUUCUAUCUGUACGGACAAGCUGUGAUGGGGAGGGAAAUAAUAGUACCGAAGUUCCUGAUGUCACACUGCCGAGAAAAGCUUCUAGUGAGAAAACAACGACCCGUACCGCAAACCGACACAGGUAGUCGAGGAGAGAAUCCUAAGGUGAGCGAGAGAACUCUCGUUAAGGAACUCGGCAAAAUGACCCCGUAACUUCGGGAGAAGGGGUGCUGAUCU